ncrna:unclassified sequences IMES-2 RNA motif
AAAUUAAUUGAGAGGCAACUCUCAACUGGCCAGUUAAGGAAAGGCCGAGAGGUUUAAGCUUAACGGGCAGAAAGUUCUGCAGAGUAGCGCUAAAAUUGCAGAGCGGGAGGUUCGGCGGUAGCGCCUAAAACGACGAACCAA